rnacentral:lncRNA from 1 species
CACACUCAACCUUUCAAAAAUGUAUCAAAUACACACCAUUUUCUUCUUGAUCACUUAACCUAAAUAUGGGUAAUGUCACGCACCAAUAGGGUCGUGACACGUGUCAUUAACAUAAAUAAAUAAAACAAAAAAUAUAAAAUUACACAUAUACUCUCAUCUUCUCCAACCCCAUCUCUUCCACCUCCAUCUCCUCCACCGUGGAUUACUUGAAAAACUAGAACAUACAAUUCAACCAAAAAAUUAGGAGCCCAAGUGAUUUAAUCCCAGAAGGAAAUAAAAACAUCAAAAAUCAAUAAGCCAUGGCUCACAACACCGUAUCAUCACAACAACGAGGCUAUUAUUAAAAAAAAUGUAACAAUGGCAAUGCAAAUCGAAAAUUACAACUGCUUGGGUACCAUAUUUAUUGAAGCUUAUCUACAUCAACAAAGACAUAACAGGCUAUCAUUUAUAACUCUCUUCUAAAAUUUUGUUUGUCAUUUCCAUGGCUGCCAUCGCCACAACUGCUUGGGUACCAAAAUUUUGUUUGUCAUUUCCAUUAAAAAAUUGACGAUGAUGACAAUUUUAUUAAAUGUGAAUGAAAUCAAAAGGAGGCUGGAGACGAAAAAAGAUUGGAAGCUUAGAUUAAUACAAAAUAUGUAUAUUUAAGAGGAAACAAGAAAUAAUAAUUUGAGAAAGAAAAGAAACAGAAGGGAUUUGGUUGGGGGUGUUGGCUGGCGAAAGAGAGAGAAAGAGGAAGGGUAGGGAAAAUGAGAAAAU